UGGGGAAUCUUGCACAAUGGGCGAAAGCCUGAUGCAGCAACGCCGCGUGCGGGAAGACGGCCCUAGGGUUGUAAACCGCUUUCAGCAGGGAAGAAACUGACGGUACCUGCAGAAGAAGAUGCGGCCAACUACGUG
rnacentral:rRNA from 1 species